rnacentral:rRNA from 1 species
GGGAAUAUUGCACAAUGGGGGAAACCCUGAUGCAGCGACGCCGCGUGAGUGAAGAAGCGCCUCGGCGCGUAAAGCUCUGUCAGCAGGAACGAUAAUGACGGUACCUGAAGAAGAAGCCCCGGCUAACUACGUGCCAGCAGCCGCGGUAAUACGUAGGGGGCAAGCGUUAUCCGGAAUUACUGGGUGUAAAGGGAGCGUAGACGGUGAUGUAAGUCUGGAGUGAAAGGCGGGGGCCCAACCCCCGGACUGCUCUGGAAACUAUGUGACUGGAGUGCAGGAGAGGUGAGCGGAAUUCCUAGUGUAGCGGUGAAAUGCGUAGAUAUUAGGAGGAACACCAGUGGCGAAGGCGGCUCACUGGACUGUAACUGACGUUGAGGCUCGAAAGCGUGGGGAGCAAACAG